rnacentral:lncRNA from 1 species
GGAUAAUAAUAGUACUUAAUUCCCAGAGUUGUUGUGAGGAUCAAAUGAGAUAAAAUUUGUAAGGCCCUUUGUAAAUCUUAUAGCUCCAUAUAAAGGUUAAGUAUUAUUAUUAUUAUAUCUAUCAUCAUCAUUUUUUCUUUAGUCACAAAAUUUCCCAUUUUUUAUGGAUACAAGAAAAUUUUAUUGAUAUGAUAUGAUAUGAUUCAUUCAACCUCGGAACUGGAAGGGAUUUUAAGCUUAUGCAACUUGCAUAGGAAGUCACUAAUGGGAUUUGGGUCUAUUGGACACUAAGUCUAUCCCUCUGUGGAGAUGCAGCAUAGAUGAUCUAUAUACCUACCAUCUUUUCCAGGUCAUAUUUCAGAAUGUCCAUAUGGUAUCCAGAAGAUCCAUUGUCUGUACUUUUAAUGUAGCCUAAAAUCUGGAGGGACAGGGCUACGAUUGGAAGAGUGACCACAUUCAUGUGAGACAUCACUUAUAUCAUUUGGAGCCAGUGACCUCAUCACUACAUCCAGAUCAAACUGCCUCUUCAUUGGAAACCAUUGGGAGGAUAUCACUAUUGGAAAGAUGGGUUCUCUGUCUCAGAUGGCAGAACCAGAAGAAAGAGGCAAUUGGGAGAAGAUGUGCAGAAGCAAAAUUCAAACUGAGAGAAGGAAUAACUUCCUAACCGUGCUAAAGAUAUCCAAAUGAUAAAGAAGGUCCCCAGGAAAUUCAGUGGUUGGACCAGAUCACACAUGUAACUGAAUGACAGAGGAAGGAUUUGAUCUCAGGGCUCACUUCGACACAAGCUAUUUCCAUCCUCCCACUUCUUCAAGCUGGGAGCUGGGACUAGAGCUGAUCCUGCCACCAGAUGGAGACCUUGGUUCCUGCUUCCAUGGGAAGUUGGGGAAGGAAAUUUGCACCUGGCCAGAGAGCGAGCUGGAGCAGCAUCCCUUAGGGGAGGGCCAGACUCUGCCCCUGCUUCAGUCAGGCCAAGGCCUGCAUAGUCCAAGGAAAAGUGGGGUCAAGCUGAGAGAGCUUAUGGAAAAGGGCAAAUUCUGA